GAUCAUGACACGUGUGAUGAUGGUGGCCGUUGGAUCAGGCUUCUGGAUGCUUCUGAUAUUAUUUACUCUGUUUGGACUCAUUUUUACUCAGCUGAAUCGUCAUUUUCUUUCAAGGGUUUUCUCUCUGCCGUUUUUGAGUUUAUACGAUCCUUCUUGAAAACUCUUCGAGUUUUCUCCUCUGUGAUGUGAUUCCUUGAGAGAUAAUAGUGAGGAAAUACAGUAAUCUCACUGUAAUACUACUGAUUGUAUGAAUGCUUAAUUUUUCUGAGUGAUUAGUAUCAAGAAUCUGAGUGAUUCUUGAGUUCGGUAGUGGCUUGUAACAGAUCUGAGUGAUCUGAGUGAUUCCUGAGAGAAGAAUAGUCCUAGC
rnacentral:lncRNA from 1 species